AGGUCAGCAUCAAUGGAAGAAGAUUGCAGAGGGGAAGGACAGUUACAGGAGGAAGCUGGAGAGCAAGCUCCAGCAGAACAACCUGAGGGAGGUGUGGAAGGGGAUGAGAACCAUCACUGGUCAUGGUAA